GAAAGUAAAGAAGGGCGCAUGGCGGAUGCCUUGGCUCUCGGAGGCGAUGAAGGACGUGAUAAGCUGCGAUAAGCUUUGGGGAGGUGCAAAUGACCUUUGAUCCAGAGAUUUCCGAAUGGGACAACCCAAUAUCUUGAAGAGGUAUUAUCCAACGUUGUUGGAGGCUAACGCAGGGAACUGAAACAUCUUAGUACCUGCAGGAAAAGAAAAUAAACAAUGAUUCCCCCAGUAGUGGCGAGCGAACGGGGAACAGCCCAAACCAUCCAUGUUACGGCAUGGGUGGGGUUGUAGGACUACGCCGUUGCAUGAAGACAUCAGAGAAGAACUUUCUGGAAAGAAAGACCAUAGAGCAUGACAGUUGCGUAUUCGAAUGUUGUCGAAGCAUAGUAGUAUCCUGAGUAGCGCGGAGCACGAGGAAUUCUGCGUGAAUCUGCCGGGACCAUCCGGUAAGGCUAAAUACUCCCGAGAGACCGAUAGCGAACCAGUACCGUGAGGGAAAGGUGAAAAGCACUUCGAACAGAAGAGUGAAAUAGUUCCUGAAACCGUGCGCCUACAAGCGGUCGGAGCUCGUUAAUGAGUGACGGCGUGCCUUUUGCAUAAUGAACCUACGAGUUGCCUUUGCCGGCAAGGUUAAGUGUGACGACACACGUAUCCGAAGCGAAAGCGAGUCUGAAGAGGGCGUAUAGUCGGCAGUGGCAGACGCGAAACCAAGUGAUCUACCCUUGGCCAGGUUGAAGGCUGGGUAACACCAGCUGGAGGACCGCACCAAUAAGCGUUGAAAAGCUUCUGGAUGAGCUGAGGGUAGGGGUGAAAGGCUAAUCAAACUUGGAGAUAGCUCGUACUCCCCGAAAUGCAUUUAGGUGCAGCCUUGCGGGUUACUGAUGUGAGGUAGAGCGACUGAUAAGAUGCGAGGGCUUCACCGCCUAUCAAGUCUUGACAAACUCCGAAUGCGUGUCAGUUCUAUGUCAGGAGUGAGGGCAUGGGUGCUAAGGUCCAUGUCCUAAAGGAGAACAAUCCGGACCAACAGCUAAGGUCCCGAAAUGAAUACUAAGUUGAACUAACGAAGUCAGAUUGCUAAGACAGCUAGGAUGUUGGCUUGGAAGCAGCCAUUCAUUUAAAGAGUGCGUAACAGCUCACUAGUCGAGGAGUCGGGCGUGGAUAAUAAUCGGGUAUGAAGUUGUCUACCGAAGCAGUGGGAUCAUUUAUAUGAUCGGUAGGGGAGCAUUCCAGUCGGCGUCGAAGGCGUACCGUGAGGUAUUCUGGAGCGUCUGGAAAAGCAAAUGUAGGUAUAAGUAACGAUAAAGGGGGCGGGAAACCCCCUCGCCGAAAGACUAAGGUUUCCUGAUCAACGCUAAUCGGAUCAGGGUCAGUCGGGUCCUAAGGCUCAGCCGAACGGCGAUGCCGAUGGCAGAAACGGUUAAUAUUCCGUUACUACCUUCAGGAGUGACGUGGAGACGCAGUAGUGACAGUGCCGCCAUCUGACGGAAUAGAUGGUUGAAGGGUGUAGGAGUCGAUCAUGGCAGGCAAAUCCACCAUGAGAUCCGAACCUGAUAGUAUGCCGCGUCCUUCGGGACAAGGCAAUAGUGCGCGUAAGCAUGCUGCCGAGAAAAUCCGCUAAACUUAAUCCUGCAGGUACCCGUACCGCAAACGGACACACGUAGUCGGGUUGAAUAUACUAAGGCGCUUGAGUGAUUCACGGUUAAGGAACUAGGCAAACUGACCCUGUAACUUCGGGAUAAAGGGUCCUCGCUUAACGGCGAGGCGCAGAGAAUAGGUCCAGGCAACUGUUUAACAAAAACACAGGGCUGUGCAAAAUUGAAAGAUGAAGUAUACAGCCUGACACCUGCCCGGUGCUGGAAGGUUAAGAGGAGAUGUCAUCGCAAGAGAAGCAUUGAAUUGAAGCCCCAGUAAACGGCGGCCGUAACUAUAACGGUCCUAAGGUAGCGAAAUUCCUUGUCGGGUAAGUUCCGACC
rnacentral:rRNA from 1 species